rnacentral:rRNA from 1 species
CCUACGGGAGGCAGCAGUGGGGAAUAUUGGGCAAUGGGCGCAAGCCUGACCCAGCAACGCCGCGUGAAGGAAGAAGGCUCUCGGGUUGUAAACUUCUUUUAUCAGGGACGAAGCAAGUGACGGUACCUGAUGAAUAAGCCACGGCUAACUACGUGCCAGCAGCCGCGGUAAUACGUAGGUGGCAAGCGUUAUCCGGAUUUACUGGGUGUAAAGGGCGUGUAGGCGGGAAAGCAAGUCAGAUGUGAAAACCAUGGGCUCAACCUGUGGCCUGCAUUUGAAACUGUUUUUCUUGAGUACUGGAGAGGCAGACGGAAUUCCUAGUGUAGCGGUGAAAUGCGUAGAUAUUGCGCAGAACUCCGAUUGCGAAGGCAGCAUACCGGCGGCGAUCUGACGCUGAGGCACGAAAGCGUGGGUAUCGAACAGGAUUAGAUACCCUAGUAGUA